rnacentral:rRNA from 1 species
UACGUAGGGGGCAAGCGUUGUCCGGAAUCAUUGGGCGUAAAGCGCGCGUAGGCGGCCCUGUAAGUCCGUUGUGAAAGUCAAAGGCUCAACCUUUGAAAGCCGAUGGAUACUGCAGGGCUAGAGUCCGGAAGAGGCGAGUGGAAUUCCUGGUGUAGCGGUGGAAUGCGCAGAUAUCAGGAGGAACACCAAUAGCGAAGGCAGCUCGCUGGGACGGUACUGACGCUAAGGCGCGAAAGCGUGGGGAGCGAACAGG